GUGCUCAGUUUGGCAGCACAUACACUAAAAUUGGAAUGAAACAGAAGAUUAGCAUAGACUCCGUGCAAGGAUGACAUUCAAAUCCAUGAAGUAUUCCAUAUUUCC